rnacentral:rRNA from 1 species
CGCCUGGGGAGUACGGCCGCAAGGUUAAAACUCAAAUGAAUUGACGGGGGCCCGCACAAGCGGUGGAGCAUGUGGUUUAAUUCGACGCAACGCGAAGAACCUUACCUGGCCUUGACAUCCAGAGAACUUUCCAGAGAUGGAUUGGUGCCUUCGGGAACUCUGAGACAGGUGCUGCAUGGCCGUCGUCAGCUCGCGUCGUGAGAUGUUGGGUUAAGUCCCGUAACGAGCGCAACCCCUAUCCCUGGUUGCUAGCAGGUAAUGCUGAGAACUCCAGGGAGACUGCCGGUGACAAACCGGAGGAAGGUGGGGAUGACGUCAGGUCAUCAUGGCCCUUACGGCCAGGGCUACACACGUGCUACAAUGGCGCGUACAGAGGGCUGCCAACUCGCGAGAGUGAGCCAAUCCCUUAAAACGCGUCGUAGUCCGGAUCGGAGUCUGCAACUCGACUCCGUGAAGUCGGAAUCGCUAGUAAUCGCGAAUCAGAAUGUCGCGGUGAAUACGUUCCCGGGCCUUGUACACACCGCCCGUCACACCAUGGGAGUGGAUUGCACCAGAAGUAGUUAGUCUAACCUUCGGGAGGACGAUUACCACGGUGUGGUUCAUGACUGGGGUGAAGUCGUAACAAGGUAACCGUA